UCCAGACUCCUACGGGAGGCAGCAGUGGGGGAUAUUGCACAAUGGGGGAAACCCUGAUGCAGCGACGCCGCGUGAGUGAAGAAGUAUUUCGGUAUGUAAAGCUCUAUCAGCAGGGAAGAAAAAAGACGGUACCUGACUAAGAAGCCCCGGCUAACUACGUGCCAGCAGCCGCGGUAAUACGUAGGGGGCAAGCGUUAUCCGGAUUUACUGGGUGUAAAGGGAGCGUAGACGGCAAUACAAGUCGGAAGUGAAAUACCCGGGCUCAACCUGGGAACUGCCUUGGAAACUGUAUGGCUGGAGUGCUGGAGAGGUAAGCGGAAUUCCUAGUGUAGCGGUGAAAUGCGUAGAUAUUAGGAGGAACACCAGUGGCGAAGGCGGCUUACUGGACAGUAACUGACGUUGAGGCUCGAAAGCGUGGGGAGCAAACAGGAUUAGAUACCCCCGUAAU
rnacentral:rRNA from 1 species